GGGGAUGUAGCUCAGCUGGCUAGAGCGCUUGACUGGCAGUCAAGAGGUCGUGGGUUCGAGUCCCAUCUUCUCCACC
rnacentral:tRNA from 1 species